CUUCUCUGGAAGCCCUGAGCCCCUCCUGUUACCGUGUUCAUUGCUAUGCAUGCCUUUUCCUCAUUCCUGAGCCCUCACAAGCGUGCAUGAGCACAAGUAGAUGGACCUGCUCUCUCCUGUCCACCUUUCUAUUGUCAGUUCAUUUGCAGACCCCAAACAUUUGAAGCUAGGAUGGUAGAGGAAAACGUUUCCCCCCAAUAAGAACUGGUCUCAGGCUGCUCACCUGUGCCGUGUUCUCCACCAGCACGCCUUUCGCAAGUGACAGAUGGAAACUCAUGCAGAAGCAGGCACCAGAGCCAACACUCCUGGAAGGAGGUGGCACUGGGGGCCAUGUGGAGAGCCUCACCUGGAAUAUCUUGUCUCAUCCUUGCACAGACCUGGCAGGGUAGAAAUCGGCCGUCCAGAGCCCAUUGAUGGGGCCGGGUUUGGAGGAAGCAGAGCCGAGGCGCUGAUGGAAGCAUGUAAAAGGAAGACCUAGCCUCACCUGCAGGGAAGAGGGUGCUCCAUUGAAGAAACCAGAA
rnacentral:lncRNA from 10 species